rnacentral:lncRNA from 1 species
AACGCUGCAUUUAGCAUUGAAAAGCCUCUGCAUAUAUUUUUAAAAUUACAGUGUCUUGUUGGAAACGCACUUCCCAAUGCUCCGCAAGACAAGAUCAUCGCCCUCGUCUGCGACCUCAUCAACAGUACUGACAUUGCUUCCUUCAGCCGCUUACCAUUAUGGCUGGGCGUCUACGACAUGAAGAGAAUGUGGUGUAUGUAAUUCGUUCUUCACCGUGCAUCGAAACAACCGCACACCAAGCCUUGUUUAGACGACAAGUUGCCUUUGCUAAAUUUUUCUUUGUUAAACCAAAAAUUACUUUUCUGUUGAGCAAUAAACUUUUGUAAGAGAAGUUGC